rnacentral:rRNA from 1 species
UUUAACUGAAGAGUUUGAUCAUGGCUCAGAUUGAACGCUGGCGGCAGGCUUAACACAUGCAAGUCGAGCGGGGGAAGGUAGCUUGCUACUGGACCUAGCGGCGGACGGGUGAGUAAUGCUUAGGAAUCUGCCUAUUAGUGGGGGACAACAUCUCGAAAGGGAUGCUAAUACCGCAUACGUCCUACGGGAGAAAGCAGGGGAUCUUCGGACCUUGCGCUAAUAGAUGAGCCUAAGUCGGAUUAGCUAGUUGGUGGGGUAAAGGCCUACCAAGGCGACGAUCUGUAGCGGGUCUGAGAGGA